rnacentral:lncRNA from 1 species
GGGGAGGUAGCGGGUAGGGGGCAGUGGGAGAGGGAAGGGAGCUGGAAGGUACGGCAGAGGGGACUAGGAAGCAGGAUUUGAGGGGGAUUGGAUGGGAGAAGAGGAGUAAUGUGGUCAGUAGGAGUUAGCAAGUUAGAAUGCUUGGGACUAGCAUGGUAUAAGGGGAGAUGGGAGCAUGCGGUUUGGGAGGGGAGAUUUGGAGGCCGUUGGUAGGGGCGGGUUGAGUUGCCGAUG